UACGAAGGGGGCUAGCGUUGCUCGGAAUCACUGGGCGUAAAGCGCACGUAGGCGGCUUUUUAAGUCAGGGGUGAAAUCCUGGAGCUCAACUCCAGAACUGCCUUUGAUACUGGGAAGCUUGAGUCCGGGAGAGGUGAGUGGAACUCCGAGUGUAGAGGUGAAAUUCGUAGAUAUUCGGAAGAACACCGGUGGCGAAGGCGGCGACCUGGUCCGAUACUGACGCUGAGGCGCGAAAGCGUGGGGAGCAAACAGG
rnacentral:rRNA from 1 species